rnacentral:lncRNA from 1 species
UUCUUUUCUUUUCUUUUCUUCUCUUUUUUUCUUUCUUUUUCUUCUUUUUUUCCUUUUCUUUUUCUUUUCUUUUUUCUUCUCUUCUUCUCCUUCCUUCCUAUCUCCCCUUCUCCUUUUUUUCCUCCCGCGCGGCCGGUGGCGCCGGAAGGGGGCUAGGCUGCGGCGAUCGCGGGAGGGGGCUAGGCCGGGGCCGGCGGCGCCUGCUGCAGUCUCGGCGGCCGUGGUUGGCUCUUGCGAAGUGUUUUCCUUCCGCAAGGCCGACGAUACCGAAAAGGGGCCAAGCCGUGGCGGAUGCAGGAGGGGGGCGGGUCGUGGCUGGCGGCGGCCGCAGGAAGCUGGAGGGCGCCCCUUCUUCUUCCUCUUCUUCGGCACCUCCCCACCGUGGGGACUGUCACGCCCCGGAUCCGGACAUGAUUUUGUUUUUCGCGUCCCACAUCUGAUUCAUGACAUGGCCGUACUAUUGUAGGUUGCUGCCCAUAAUAACACGAAGCUCAUGAUAACAAUUUUAUUUCAUGAAAUUAAACCAAAUCUGAUCAAAUUUAUCGACUAAUCAUAAAGAAGCAAAUACAGAGCAUCUAAAUCAAAUACUUGAGUUUGCAAUAUUACAACCCAAACUUAUUAACAUAGAUACUUCUAAGAGUCUCUGUCACUAUGCUUCAACUCUAAUUUUUAUUUACUCUUUCCCGCUCCUAAUCGCCUUAAUUAUCUGAAAUAAAUAAAAGAAAACAAUAGAAGAGGUAUGAGCGUGUGGCUCAGUAAGUAACCAUGUACUAUCUUAUUAAAUCAAGCAUAAUUUUUCUCAUGCCAAUGCAUCAUUUAAAUAAUUUAACAGCAAAAUAAAGCAUUUCAUAGAUAAUUUAUUCAAAACAAGUUAUAAAGCAAAAUAUGUUCCAACCAUGCAAGUUCAUAAACAUGAUAAUGCAAGUCAUAUAAAAAAAUGUUGCCGUUCAUCCAUACUUUAUAAAUCUUACUCUCAGACGGAUGUGCUGCUAUGGUAACUAUAAUUCCGUGACAGGGCUCGUAUUCGUAGUCGACGAGUUUUAUAACUUAUUCAUAUUCGUUACCAACUUUAACCCGUUGACAGAGGGCCAUAUUUGUUGGAUGCUAACUCCAGGGAGUCGACUGACCUCUAUUUCUAGAGGUGGGCAUAGCUAUCUAAGAGUUCAUAAAUUAUUCUUCUUUUUCAUAAAUCAUAGUUUCAUACAUAGGUUUGAAAAUGACAAAAGGCAUCAUAAUGUAUUAAAUUCAUGAUUAUGCCACAAAUCUCAUUUUCAUGCAAUUUAUCAUAACCAUAAUUCAUCGUAAUGUAUAAAUUCAUGAUCAUACCACAAAUCUCAUUUUCAUGCAAUUUAUCAUAACCAUGAUUUAUACUCAAAUGUUCGUGAAGGAUGCAUUUAGUCAAACUCAUGAAUCACAUGCAAUCAUAUGCUUGAUGCUACUUCUAAGAAAAUACAUCAUACCAAAUAUAUUUUUCAUUAUUUUAUUCUUACAAUUAAACAGUGAUUUUAAAUUAAUAAGAUCAGUGCCAGGGUUACUUACCUUGAUUCGCUCACGAAUCUCUAGAACCAGAUGACAACUUUACUAUACCUAUCAUCUUCAUAGAGGACAUAUUAUCAUUUUCUAUUUUAGUUUAUUUAUUUAUUGUUAUUUCAUUUCAUUUAAAUACAUCUAUUACCUUAAUUCUCUAUUUAUUUAAUUAUAUAUAUUUAUUAUUAUUUAUUAUUAUUAUUUUUCUUUUUCUUUCUUUUUUU